AACACAUGCAAGUCGAACGAUGAAGCCCUUCGGGGUGGAUUAGUGGCGAACGGGUGAGUAACACGUGGGCAAUCUGCCCUUCACUCUGGGACAAGCCCUGGAAACGGGGUCUAAUACCGGAUACGAGUUCCGAAGGCAUCUUCGGGACUGGAAAGCUCCGGCGGUGAAGGAUGAGCCCGCGGCCUAUCAGCUUGUUGGUGAGGUAACGGCUCACCAAGGCGACGACGGGUAGCCGGCCUGAGAGGGCGACCGGCCACACUGGGACUGAGACACGGCCCAGACUCCUACGGGAGGCAGCAGUGGGGAAUAUUGCACAAUGGGCGAAAGCCUGAUGCAGCGACGCCGCGUGAGGGAUGACGGCCUUCGGGUUGUAAACCUCUUUCAGCAGGGAAGAAGCGAAAGUGACGGUACCUGCAGAAGAAGCGCCGGCUAACUACGUGCCAGCAGCCGCGGUAAUACGUAGGGCGCAAGCGUUGUCCGGAAUUAUUGGGCGUAAAGAGCUCGUAGGCGGCUUGUCACGUCGGGUGUGAAAGCCCGGGGCUUAACCCCGGGUCUGCAUCCGAUACGGGCAGGCUAGAGUGUGGUAGGGGAGAUCGGAAUUCCUGGUGUAGCGGUGAAAUGCGCAGAUAUCACGAGGAACACCGGUGGCGAAGGCGGAUCUCUGGGCCAUUACUGACGCUGAGGAGCGAAAGCGUGGGGAGCGAACAGGAUUAGAUACCCUGGUAGUCCACGCCGUAAACGUUGGGAACUAGGUGUUGGCGACAUUCCACGUCGUCGGUGCCGCAACUAACGCAUUAAGUUCCCCGCCUGGGGAGUACGGCCGCAAGGCUAAAACUCAAAGGAAUUGACGGGGGCUCGCACAAGCAGCGGAGCAUGUGGCUUAAUUCGACGCAACGCGAAGAACCUUACCAAGGCUUGACAUAUACCGGAAACAUCCAGAGAUGGGUGCCCCCUUGUGGUCGGUAUACAGGUGGUGCAUGGCUGUCGUCUGCUCGUGUCGUGAGAUGUUGGGUUAAGUCCCGCAACGAGCGCAACCCUUGUCCUGUGUUGCCAGCAUGCCCUUCGGGGUGAUGGGGACUCACAGGAGACCGCCGGGGUCAACUCGGAGGAAGGUGGGGACGACGUCAAGUCAUCAUGCCCCUUAUGUCUUGGGCUGCACACGUGCUACAAUGGCCGGUACAAAGAGCUGCGAUGCCGUGAGGCGGAGCGAAUCUCAAAAAGCCGGUCUCAGUUCGGAUUGGGGUCUGCAACUCGACCCCAUGAAGUCAGAGUUGCUAGUAAUCGCAGAUCAGCAUUGCUGCGGUGAAUACGUUCCCGGGCCUUGUACACACCGCCCGUCACGUCACGAAAGUCGGUAACACCCGAAGCCGGUGGCCCAACCCCUUGUGGGAGGGAGCUGUCGAAGGUGGGACUGGCGAUUGGGACGAAG
rnacentral:rRNA from 1 species